GCCACCAAAACAAUUUAUUUUGCCAUAUGACCAAAUACAUUUUUACAUUUAAAAUAAAUAUAAUUUAGGCAAAAUCAAUAUAACAAGGUAAAUUAGAGAAACUAAAAGAUUAGGAUACAUAGUGUAAAGACAAAAGCAAAAAUAAAAUGGGAUAAAUAAAUGGAAAUCUGUGAAAGUGCAUCCAUAGAGUCUAUAAACUGUGUGGGCAGUCAACCAUGGCAACCACAUGUUUUUAGACUCAGUCUUUACAAUUCUCUGCCCUCCAGGAACUAUAGGCAAGUUUUAAGUAACUUUGCACUCUAAAGCACCAUAGCCACGUCACCUUACUUACCUAUCACAGAAGGCUGUGGGAGACAAGGAGCACUGGGAGGUGAUGUCUCCAUUUUCUGACCUCUUCCUUCCAGGUCAGCAGCGUGUGGGG